CUUCAAAAAUAGGCUCUAAAAUGUGUGAAUUUAAAUGUAGUUAUGCUACAAUACAGCUAUCAAACUUCAAGUAAGAAACCAAAGAAAAUAUCUUUCAUACUGUCACGUUCCCAACCUACACCCUAAAUAUAAUAGGCACUCGAAACCACCAAUGGCCCGAGAGAAUCCUUGGUCUAGCAAGCUGUUCAUAAAACUUUAUUUUCAAAAGUUGCGGAAACUCACAACAAUAAACUUCUAUAAACAAUAUAUAAACACUUGAUUUCAGCAUCCAAAACUAAAAAUCAUUUUAAAGACAACUUGAAAAUCGCAAAGCAACAUAUAUCUAAUGAAGCCUCUAAAAAUGAACCGAAUAAGUCAAUUGGGACAAGCCCCCAGGAAAACUUAAUCUAAAUGGCUGUCUAAAGGUUUAAUAAGUAGAAGGGACAUAACCAAGUCCUCUAGAUGCAAGGACUCACCAUAGGCUGAUAGUGAAAAGUCUAACGAAACAUCUGACAGCAUCCCUGUGUCUGUGUGCCUAAAAUCUACAUCAUGACAUGAUACAAUCCAAAAAUAGAAAACGAUCAAUACAAAAUGUAUUCGUAUGUAAUAGUGGAAUAUAAUGGAACAAUAAACAUGUACUAACUAGAAACUAACUGAAUGAACAUUUGAAUUAAAUCAUAACAAAUGACAUGAGCAAGGAAAUAUAGAACACAAGACAUACUAACUUUUCUUACGAAGCUAUCUUUACUAAAAUAAUGCAAUGAAUAAGUUAUCCAAAACAUGAAAAUAAUGUAAAAACUUAAAUAGCCAACUUCAUCAAACGUAAACCCGAAAGAAAGUAGUUGAAAUGCUGGAGUAAAACAACUCUAAUACAAUUCAUACAACAAAAAUUGAAACUAGAAACUGAAUGAUUGAAAUCUGAGCAAAACUUGAAAAUGAUAUUUCAUAAAAAUCUCUUUAAACUAGUGGCUCAGGCCAAUAAUGUAUUCCCUCAAAAUAAGUACGUUUUCUUUUUGAGAGUUUCUCUUAACCGACAUGUGCGCAACAUGAAGUACAAAGUCUUUUUCACAUUGCCAGAACCCAAGGUCUUGUCCAGUUCUGCCCACCUAUACCUUGUCAGGUUAUAAGACGUGACAUAAUCUAGGGAUCCAUCCCAAAGCUGAGCCCGGAGGCUAUAAAUAAUAGAGGAGUCAUCCCAUCUGCGGAUUAUUCUUUCCUUCGAAAUAUGGCGACAUAAUUUUGGAAUAUGAAACCUUAGACUCGUACCCAUCUUGAUGCUAAAUAAUCCUCGCAAAAGUAUACUAGUUACUCAUAUUAUACAUCUUUAAACAAUUUUAUAAAAUCAUGCUUGACUCAAAAUAUCAUAGCAUGUACAUAUUUAUUUGUGUGAGCCUUGACUCUAAAUCUCUUUAACUUUUACUUUACAAGCUACGAUAAGUUUUUGUACUUUCCAAGCCAUGAUAUUAUUCAAAGCAAUUCUCAUAAUCUUUUCACGAAUUUAUAGUACUUAAAGAGUUUUCAAGUAAACUUUGGACAGAAUAGAUCUCAUCAGCGGCGGACCCAAAAUUCAAGGAGUGUGGGUGCUUACUACAGCAAAAAAAUAAAAAAUCAUCUCAACCAAAUUUGAACCCGAGCACACCUACCAGUAGAGAGACUUAAGAUCCAGCUAAAUGCCAGUGCAUCUAACCAACUUCUUGUUUAGUGGGUGCUUUUAUAUAAUUUAUACCUAUUUUCAUAUAUUUUUUAUAUGAUUAUACCUAUUUCGUGUCGAGUUUGGUGGGUGUCGGAGCACCCAAAAAUUAUGUGUAGGUCCGCCCUUGGAUCUCAUGAAAACAAGUGAUAAACUUUAAGUAACAUUAAUAAAACUCAUAAACAUUAUAUGGAGAAAACUGAUAGACAUGCCAUGAAAUUCAAUCUUGAGAAAGACAUCUAACCCAUAGAACUAACAUUAAUAUUUAAGAAAUAACUAAGAAAGUUGUAACAAGGAUAAAAACUAAUACUUAAAAAUAUUUAAAUUUGAAACCCUACUAAAUCAUGAACUUAAUGUGAAAGUAAGACUCAAUUGUGGGAAAGAAUGGGUUCCUCAUGAAAGGUGUUGCUCUUACGUACCUCAGAGAUGAUCUAUGGGGAAGAGCCCUUUGAAUUUGGAGCCCUACCUUAAUCUUUCUUGAAGCUUGAAUGUUUUAAAACCUUGAGAAGAUUUGAGAGGAUGCUUUUAAUCAAUAUUAAGGUAAAUAGAAGAGUGGGAAAUAUUUUAGAAGGGUGGAGAACGAUUGAGGUUAAGGAAAGGACCAAAAAGCCCCAGAAAUAACGCCGGAGAAAAUUUUCCAUCGGGGCCUUGGGUUUGUGGCCGCAUAAUAGCUUGCAUAUGGCUUCUAGUAACUUCUCCAAACCAAAUGCCUGUGUUUUCUUGGUCUGCGUUGGGUUUGCAAACGCAGAAAGGGAUUUUCCAUCGUAAAUCAGUCCGAAAAACUUUUCAUUGUGUAAGUCAGUUUACUAACUUUUGAUAAAAUGAUCAUAACUUUACACUCCGAAAUCAGAUUCACAAACAACCAGUGGUAUUAGAAAGAAGACUCCAAGAACUUUCAUUUGGUGUAUGUUGGGCCGCAAAACUCUUCAUAUUCUUAGAGUUAUGUUCGUUUGAAUUUGACCCUAGUAAAAUCUUAUACGAAAACUCAAUCAGUAAAGAAGCUUUCAAUUUAACUUUGAGCUAGAAGUUUCUUAUGAC
rnacentral:lncRNA from 1 species